AACGAACGCUGGCGGCAGGCUUAACACAUGCAAGUCGAACGGGCGUAGCAAUACGUCAGUGGCGGACGGGUGAGUAACACGUGGGAAUAUGCCUUUCGGUUCGGAACAACUCGGGGAAACCCGUGCUAAUUCCGGAUACGCCCUUACGGGAAAGGAUUAUCGCCGAAGAUUAGCCCGCGUUGGAUUAGCUAGUUGGUGAGGUAAAGGACUCACCAAGGCGACGAUCCAUAGCUGGUUUGAGAGAACGACCAGCCACACUGGGACUGAGACACGGCCCAGACUCCUACGGGAGGCAGCAGUGGGGAAUCUUGGACAAUGGGCGCAAGCCUGAUCCAGCCAUGCCGCGUGAGUGAUGAAGGCCUUC
rnacentral:rRNA from 1 species